GUCAAUGGCGACACUCAUAGAAAGCGACAUUUGCUAAAAUGGCUUCUGCGUUGCAAAGCAGCGAAGAAUCCCGUUGGAUUGCCUCAGUUUCAUCAGCUCCAGUGUGUUUGCUAUAGCUCCUACAGACGAACUUGUAGCCUGAAAGAACGUGGAAUGCUGGCCAGUUAUCUGCAGUUGGAAAUCCACCUGACCAAAGUUAAGAUAUGUGAGUUAUAGAUAUUCAGUUGUUUUUUGUUAAUAGAUUUGAAUGUGACAGUUUGUUGAGGGUACAUACAGAUAUCCACACAAUCACAUAACAAAGUGAGAGGAAAAAACUUAAUGCUAAACUUAACGUAAUUUAUAGAUAAAUGUUCACACGAAGCUUGCGAAUAAUGUAGUACUUCUGACUGUUCGUGGCUGACACUCGACACCUUAAUUUUCAAGCAAUUAUACAAUUUUUGUAUUUAGCUUGCUGUGGAGAGCUUACAGCUGUUACCAAUCCACCCUAAUUUGGCAAGUAAAAUGUCACACGAUUUCAUGUCUCUUAAUGGACAACACGUGACCAUCGGGUCGUAGAUAUUCUGAAAAUCCCGUUCUUUAAAAACACCAUAAUACUUUAAUCAUUUUUACGCACUUUUACCUUCAAAACAAUAUGCAUCAAACUCAAUCCACACAGAAGAACAGAAAAACAAAACAAGCAGCACAUCAACUGUAUAAUUUCUGCGACGAGAAGACGACGGAGGAUUCAUAAUCGAACGCGGCCCAUUUGCAUUUUUUUCCCACCUCAUUGUUAUUCUCUACCCCUAUACUCUUUCUAUAAGAACCCAUCUAAUAAGAGUUCUUAAUUCUCUAGUCAAAUUCGGCUUCCCUUCAUAUUAGUCAUUGGCUAAUAAUUGCGCCUGGCACGUAUCGCCAGUUCGUUCACAAAACUACUGUUACCGUUGAAACACUUCGAUCUGGUUCAGAAAUUAGCACGAAUUAGUUGAUUUUAAAGAUCAUCGAUAAUGUUUGUUUUCUAGCUCCAGCAAUGUCAAAUAUCCUUUUUCCCUUUCUCCCUCUCUUCUCCUUCGGUCUUACGGUUCUCUUUAGUGUCAUUCACAUUGAUUGCCCGUGUUAGGUUGUUAUUCUGCCGUUACCUGGCUGAUCGAGUGCUGGAAUGGUGAAUUUCAACGGGCGAGGCUGUAUGUAUUUAUUAUUUUUUUUUUUUUCAUUUGUUUUUUUUUUUUGUCACAUAAAUUUGCCCAUCACUUGUUAAUUUUUGCCAAAUCUUUUGGCAAAAAGACGUCUUGUGAUAACCUCCUAUCUACCUUUAAUUAUAACAUUUUUUUCGUCCAAAGAAAUAUCGAUAUAAAAAU